CGAGUCGGUCGGGCGGCCGCGUCGACGACCUCCGGGUCGUCGCCGAGGAAAGUCCGGACUCCGCAGGGCAGGGUGGUUGUCAACGGCAACCCGGGGCGACCCGCGGGACAGUGCCACAGAGAACAGACCGCCGUCGGCGCGAGCCGGCGGUAAGGGUGAAACGGUGGUGUAAGAGACCACCAGCACCCCGGGUGACCGGGGUGGCUCGGUAAACCCCACCCGGAGCAAGGCCAAGAGGCUCCCGCCUGCGGGAGCUGCGCAGACGUUCGAGGGCGGCCCGUCCGAGUCUGCGGGUAGGCCGCAAGAAUCCGCCGGCGACGGCGGAUCGAGAUGGAUGGUCGCCGAACGGAGCACCGCAAGGUGCCCGGGAACAGGAUCCGGCUUACAGACCGGCUCGUCCG
rnacentral:RNase_P_RNA from 2 species